UUACGGCCACAUCACCUUGAAACGCAGGUCUCCGUACGAUCACAGAGGUUAAGCAACGUCGAGCCUGUCAGUACCUAGAUAAGUGACCGCUUUGGAAUACCAGGUGCUGUAAG